UACGAACUGUGCAAACGUUAUUCGGAAUCACUGGGCUUACAGGGUGCGUAGGCGGCCAGACAAGUAGGGUGUGAAAGCCCCCGGCUUAACCGGGGAAUGGCGCCCUAAACUGUAUGGCUGGAGUGAGAUAGGGGUGUGCGGAACUUCCGGUGGAGCGGUGAAAUGUGUUGAUAUCGGAAGGAACGCCGGUGGCGAAAGCGGCACACUGGAUCUCAACUGACGCUGAGGCACGAAAGCCAGGGGAGCGAACGGGG
rnacentral:rRNA from 1 species